rnacentral:ncRNA from 2 species
UAUAUUUGCCGAGAAUUUGGUUCCCUAAGAUUUGGGAUUAAAUGGGAAUGAAGCGUAAAUCUUCAACUGUCCCCGCAACUGUAAAUCGCAAAAAGAGAUUUUGUAAUCUAUGCCAUUGUCUGUGAUUAAGGAUGAGAAGGCGCAAAAUCAGCGAAAGUCAGGAGACCUGCCAGAGAAAAUUAAAAAAA